UCAAUCUGUGUGAUUUGUCCUAAUAUAUUUAUAUUUAUUUAUUUAUAUAGGUAAGUCAUAGACUUCAUACUAAUUCCAUGAGGUAAAGACAUUAAAUAAUGUUCUUAUAACUCUGGCUAUUGACAAUAUUGACAUCUGGCCAUAGACACAAGAAAAAUGUUGUUGAACCUGUGAAUGUGAUGAGUGGCGAUAUAUUUUAGCUUCAACUAUCGAUAUUAUUUAUCGAUUGAUUGAAGCGGUGGUGGUUUAAUGGUUAGGACGCCCGCCUGUGGAUCAAAAAGUCAGGUUCGUAUCCUACUCGUGCCAUAUGAGUUUGUAUACCAAUCUGACUGAUAUAUAUAUAGUAGUUUUCAUCGACCACCACUUGCUUCCGGUGAAGGAAAACAUAGUGAGGAAACCUGCACACUGCCGGACAGUUUAGUUCACUAGUGUGUAUGCGACUGUCUGCCGCUAGAUGGCGGUAAGUGGUCGUAAAGUCAUGCCAGAUGAGACUUGAAUAAAAUCUGACACCAGUGUUAGCAAUAACACACUCGAUAUGAUGAUGAUCGAUUAUCGAUUCACACAAUCGAAAAGCAACACUAAUGCAAAAGGAGCCCAUUAAAAGAAGCCAAACAGCCGUCAAAACUAAACGUCAUAUACACUAGCUCUGUAUAAACAGACUCAUAUAUGCAUAAAUUAUAUGUUUUUUUAAAUUAUAUUUACAUGUACAUAUAAAUCAUCAUAAAUGGAAAAUUUGUUUAAUAAAUUGCCAAACGUCGAUAAAUGUUGUUUUUUAAUACCUUUGAAAAUCGGAUGCAGUCUCAUAGCUAUAUAUUAUCUAUUGAGUGGUACAGUUGUCGGAGAGGACAUAUCGCUCGUCCGCAACCCAGGAUCACGCUCGAUCGUGUUGGCCGGGUUGAAUAACAACGCCAGCGGAUUUAAAUAUACGUGCUACGAAAGUAUACAUAGAUCAAAUUGCACCCAAUACGUUUAUCAAAGCGCUGCGGUUAAAGUAUUUCUUUUUUUCCACGAUUUCUCAUUGCGGAUUGCCAGCGCUUUGUUACUCAUUGGGAUUUAUAUUGAAUUUGUUAUGACUGUUACAGUAUUUUUAUACGUGUAUACUAUUACGUUGAUCAUUGAUAUACUGGUCAUCACUUUGCUAGUGGUAAUAGGUACUGUGAUAGGCACAUGUCCUACCACGGUAUCGAGCAAGGCUCACUGCGUGAUCACGAUUAUUGUACUAUGUAUAGUGGGCCUUUACAUCAUCAUUACAAUAAAUGGUUUAAGAACAACGCUAAUCGACCGAGCGAGCUCAGAUGACGAAGAUCAGCCAGCAUAAAAUUGAUUUGAUAGAUAGAUUUUAGGACAUUGUUUAUUCAACUGUUACAGACACAAAAUAACAGAAUAAAAGAACAGUAGGUACUUAAAAAGCACAAUACGAACAUUCGUAUGCUGCAGCAGUCAAAAUGGUCAUUGCUCAGCGACACUUUGCACUAGCGAGAGUACAGAAACGCAGAUUUUCAGUUAUAUCAAAUUGGAAAUAGGUGCGGGCGCUAAAACUUUCGUUUUGUGUGUGUCCGCUCGGUCUUCGGAGCAACCGUCACGCCACUCGCAGGCCGAAUGAUCAAUGAAAGAGGCUAGAAGACAGUCAAAUCCGUAGCACGUGACUUGACGUCCACACGACGUCUCUUUUCCCAUAUCGGGUGGGUUCUCAGAGCGUUGCGACCGCUGCAGCCGCGCUGUCAUUACGACCCGUCAAUUUCCUUGAGGAAGGAAUCAUUUCCAAAAUCAAUCUAUACUAUUAUUAUAAAGAGGACAUUGCAUUAUUAUAAGUAUGACCUGACGUUGCAGCCAGGAUAGGCAAACAAACAAACGUCCAAUUUCACAAAAAUAAUUAAAAUCGCAAACACUGAAGUUUAUAUUAUUCCGUGGACGCAUUUUAAUGAUUUCAUCACUAAUUAAACCUACGCCGAGGAUUGUAAGUAGUUGUAUUUGUGGCGUGUGGUUCCGCCCUGGAAUAGGACCACUCUAUAUGCUCCCGUACGAGGCGGCCGGUUGUAAAAUCACAGCUGAAUUUUCAAAAUUGUAAGGUUUUUUUACGCCGGGCUUCGCGGCUUCACAAGCUCGAACGCAACCGGAAACAUGCAGAUAUGAGAUUGAGACUUGCAUUUUCUGUUUCUUAAUUAUUAUGGUACCUACUAUACAAGAGUUAAUUCAUUCAUAAAAUAAAACAAUUUUUGAAAAUGUAUAAUUUAUUAAAAUAAAAAUAUUUUACCUAUAAUAUGCCGCACCUUAAAUCUAUAAUACUAAUAUACAGGGUUACUGAUAUCUAACGCAUAACCUUCCACAGGCGCAUAAGGUACAUAGAGACUAACAUAUUUUGGUCUACGACUUUUGUCUAAACGUAAUAAAUACAAACAUUUUCCUUUUUUUAGUUUUAAUGUCGUUUCUAUAAAACGUUAACUCUAUGUUAGAUUCCGCUACAUAACGCUACUGUACUGUCUCACGUUGCUUGGCUAUUACAUAGAGUUAAGAUGAGUAGAAUCGCAAAUUAGAUUGUAUUUUUAUAUGAAAAAAAAAAACUAUGUAUCACGAAUUGCUUGUUUUGAUGUACCCGAGUAGUCUUUAGGUUUUGCAUUUGAUACCAGUAGCCCUGUAUAAUCUAUAAUAUAAUCUAUUUUAAUACCUACUCUGAUAAAUUUAGAGUAACGGGCAUCCAAAUUAAAAUUAAUUGAUAACAAUCAAUGGACGUGGAGUUUAAUGGCAGUGGUUAGCGCGCUCGGCCUGUGAUAGCGGCGGUUAAGAGUAUUGUGAGAGUGCUCACAAUCAGUCUGUCAUUGGAUGGGUGACCAAAAUGAUCUUGAGCUCCCACGUGCUCCGGAAGGCACUUAUUUUAUCUGUCAGAUAACAAUUAGACAUUUUAACAGAAAGCGGUGAAACUUGGCUUUUUUAACCGUUAACUAAAUAUUUCAGAGUAUUGUACUUAUUAUAAGGCAAUUUCAAAAUAAAUAUGGAUAAUUCGCACAAAAAAGUAGGUUCGAGACUUGUGUAAUGGGAUACUAACUCAACGAUACUAUAUUGAAUAUUGAUAAUUUUUUAAAAAUAAAAUAUGUGUAGCUAUUUUGAAAUUAUCUUAUAUUAACUAAAUUAACGUUUAUUGUUAACUAAUAAAAGCAAAUUGC